rnacentral:rRNA from 1 species
UACAGAGGGUGCGAGCGUUAAUCGGAAUUACUGGGCGUAAAGCGUGCGCAGGCGGUUCGCCAAGUCUGAUGUGAAAGCCCCGGGCUCAACCUGGGAACUGCAUUGGAAACUAACGGGCUCGAGUGUGGCAGAGGGGGGUGGAAUUCCACGUGUAGCAGUGAAAUGCGUAGAGAUGUGGAGGAACACCGAUGGCGAAGGCAGCCCCCUGGGCUAACACUGACGCUCAGGCACGAAAGCGUGGGGAGCAAACAGG